rnacentral:lncRNA from 10 species
UCUGUACUAAGAUUGGACUAAACGGUCCAUUCUCAGAAGAGAUGAAAACCCUGGAGAUCAGGCUGAUGCGUGCUUCUGAACAGCUGACCCUGAGGCCUUCGUCCACCUCUUGACCAGGACCCUCUCGUCAG